rnacentral:rRNA from 1 species
GACAUGUCUGGAAAUGCCGAAGAGAUUUGGCAGUGCUCGCAAGAGAACCGGAACACAGGUGCUGCAUGGCUGUCGUCAGCUCGUGUCGUGAGAUGUUGGGUUAAGUCCCGCAACGAGCGCAACCCUUGUCAUUAGUUGCUACGAAAAGGGCACUCUAAUGAGACUGCCGGUGACAAACCGGAGGAAGGUGGGGAUGACGUCAAGUCCUCAUGGCCCUUAUGGGUAGGGCUUCACACGUCAUACAAUGGUCGGGACAGAGGGCUGCCAACCCGCAAGGGGGAGCCAAUCCCAGAAACCCGAUCGUAGUCCGGAUCGCAGUCUGCAACUCGACUGCGUGAAGUCGGAAUCGCUAGUAAUCGCGGAUCAGCAUGUCGCGGUGAAUACGUUCCCGGGUCUUGUACACACCGCCCGUCACACCAUGGGAGUGGGUUUUACCAGAAGUAGUUAGCCUAACCGCAAGGGGGGCGAUUACCACGGUAGGAUUCAUGACUGGGGUGAAGUCGUAACAAGGUAGGCGUAGCGAG